GAGGGCUGUCCUGCCUGUCGGCCUUUUGCUCAGUGGACACCCCUCUUCACAGAGUUGAUUUAUCCUGGCGCUGCUGCAGCCGCCAAUUCCCUCACUGAUAUCGGAGCCAGUGCUUGCCCGCUUCCAUCACUGACUACAACAUCAGCUCUUCAGGAACUCUCCAGGAGAGGGUUCUGUGCUCAAAUGGAAGUGGCAAGGCACUUGGCCUCAUGGAGCAAGCAACUACUGGGUGCCAGCCUUGCCAAUGUGAGACGGCCACCGUGGAACUCCAGCUGCCAUGAUGCCCAGCCUCAAGGACCCAGCAAUGACCAGGUUCUCAGUUUCUAAGGUGUGAGACAACUGUUGCUACUAUUUUAAGUUAUUCUUUUAGAAGGGGCAGCAAGCCCUCAUCCCUUCUGACCCAGCAUCAAUUAGAAGAAAUAUCUGGGGUGACUACGAAGCAUCUAGAGAAAGCAAGCCAGAACUUCCCCACAAGACCUAACUUCACACUGGCUACUUAAUGUGCAUUAAAAUCAUCGACAUCACCAUCAUCAUCAUCAUCAUCGUAAUCAUUGUCAUCGCUAUCAUCGUUGUCAUCACCGUCAUCAUUGUCAUUGUCAUCGCCAUCAUCAUCAUCGUGUAUGCGUGCCCACAGACAACUUUUGAGGGCCAUUUUCUCCCCCCACUGUGAGUUCCAGAUAUCAAAUUCUGGUCAUCAAGCUUGCAAAUGUCUUUUUCCUUGAUAAGAUAUUUAGUUUUGACCUUCUAAAUGACUUAGAAAUGUAACUGUACCUUGGUUUUCACAUUUCAAAGUGUUUAUAAUUUUACAGAUUUCAAUGUAAAUAAUUAACUACUUUAAGUUUCUAGUUUUAGUUGCCAAAAUUAUAUGAAUGCUAUUUAAUUAAGAGCACCACCUGUUUGUUUGUUUGUUGCAUUAUGGUCUUUAUAUAAACCUUAAAAUAUUUGAGUUAAAAACUAAAUGUAAUUCAACCUUUGAAAAAUUCAAGAUAUAUGUGAAACAUGCUGAGAACACAUUUAAAAUCUGUCUCCUCUUUCUUAGUCAUCACCAUUUCGUGAACACUGGAAAGGCCAGAUUAUGCUGGGAAAGGGGGCUGAGCAGUUGCUUGGCUCGUGGGGACAGGUGGGUGACAGCUUCAGGAGUGCUGCCUGUGCUCCUACACUUGGCUACUGGAAGCCUGGAAGGCUGCAAGGCAGUCUGCAGCCACAGCAGCUCCCUGUCAACUUCUUGUCCUUUUAACAGUAAAUGUCAUUUAAUUGACGCUAUUGAGUUUUUUUGCACUUCCUUGGGUCAUUUGGUCUGGUUUUACCUCAGAUAUAGACCACGGCUGAGAAAAACGAAAACCUGCAACCAGUACCCCCUAGUUAUAAAAAACUAGAGUUCUAAUGUAAUGUUCUAAUAUAAAGACACCAAUAUGAAACUAGAAUUUAACUGUGUCUAAAGCAAGACUUUCUUCAGGAUAUUUUCUGCUCAGUGCCAUUCUCACAAUUGAGCAAAACCACAAGAGUUUAUAUUUUAUUAAAAUUAUUCAUGUUUUCUGAUGUUUAUGUUUCAGGCUUUUGAUUACAUAUUAAAUUGCUUUAAUAAAUUCAAUGUUC
rnacentral:lncRNA from 1 species